GACGAACGCUGGCGGCGUGCUUAACACAUGCAAGUCGAACGGAAAGGCCCUGCUUUUGUGGGGUGCUCGAGUGGCGAACGGGUGAGUAACACGUGAGUAACCUGCCCUUGACUUUGGGAUAACUUCAGGAAACUGGGGCUAAUACCGGAUAGGUGCUCCUGCUGCAUGGUGGGGGUUGGAAAGUUUAGGCGGUGGGGGAUGGACUCGAGGUUUAUCUGCUUGUUGGUGGGGUAGUGGCUUACCAAGGCUUUGACGGGUAGCCGGCCUGAGAGGGUGACCGGCCACAUUGGGACUGAGAUACGGCCCAGACUCCUACGGGCGGCAGCAGUGGGGAAUAUUGCACAAUGGGCGGAAGCCUGAUGCAGAAACGCCGCGUGCGGGAUGACGGCCUUCGGGUGGUAAACCGCUUUCGCCUGUGACGAAGCGUUAGUGACGGUAAUGGGUAAAGAAGCACCGGCUAACUACGUG
rnacentral:rRNA from 1 species